rnacentral:sRNA from 1 species
AUAUUUGCACAUUUAUAAUGGUAAUCAAAAACACCCAUAUUAUUGAUAUAUAGGCACCCAUAUGAAUAUCAGUAUAUAUUUCAAUUUUAUGAUAAAUGAACAAUAUAUAUAACUAUAAUUGUGUAUUUAUAUCGCUUCAAUUUAGAUGCAUGUACUGGAAUAAAAAAAAAAAGUAUAUUUUUUUUUUUAGUAGAGAGAACUAAUGAAAUCACUUGUAUUUCAUUUUUGUCAACCAAAGAUUUUUUUUUUUCAUUAUAUUUGUAUUUUGUUGGAAAUCAAAAUAUGUUGAGAAGGUUUAGUACCCAGGAAAUGUCCUAAAAUUAAUUGUGUUGAAUCUAUGCAUGCACCCUAAAACAUAUUUACUUGGUUAGGAUUUACAGAAGUAAACUUUAUUGUAUUGGCACUUGUUAUAAUUUGUACUCUGUAAAGUUCUGUGAAAACGAAACCCUUGUUUACUUGUUGCAGUCAUAAAAAAUAAACUGUUAUAUUUACA